AGCAGCCGCGGUAAUUCCAGCUCCAAUAGCGUAUAUUAAAGUUGUUGCAGUUAAAAGCUCGUAGUUGAAUUUCGGGGUUAGUAGGUUGGUCGUGCCACUGGUACGUACUGGUCUCACUGAUUCCUCCUUCCUGAUGAACUGUAAUGCCAUUAAUUUGGUGUUGCAGGGAAACUGGACUGUUACUUUGAAAAAAUUAGAGUGUUUAAAGCAAGCUAACGCUUGAAUACAUUAGCAUGGAAUAAUGAAAUAGGACGUUCGAUCCUAUUUUGUUGGUUUCUAGGAUUGACGUAAUGAUUAAUAGGGAUAGUUGGGGGCAUUAGUAUUCAAUUGUCAGAGGUGAAAUUCUUGGAUUUAUUGAAGACUAACUACUGCGAAAGCAUUUGCCAAGGAUGUUUUCAUUAAUCAAGAACGAAAGUUAGGGGAUCGAAGACGAUCAGAUACCGUCGUAGUCUUAACCAUAAACUAUGCCGACUAGGGAUCGGAUGAUGUUAAUUUUUUUAAUGACUCAUUCGGCGCCUUA
rnacentral:rRNA from 1 species